UCUGCCCCCUCCAGAGCCCGGCGCCAGCGGCUGCUGGCCGGGCCUCAGGGCUGGGCGGGCACGGGAGGCCGGGGCUGGCCGCAGACAGCGCCCGACCGAGGGGCAGAGCCCGCACCAACCCUUCCCUCCUGCCGCUCUCUCCAGCUGGCACAGGACAGGAACCGAGCGGUUGAGGACCUGCGCCGGGCCCUGCCGUACCUGCAGAGCCCACAGGAGUCCCUGCGAGCGGCGGCCAUCAGGUUCAUCGAGAUGGUCGAGGUACCCAUGAGGGGGCAGCAGGAAGAGCUCUAGGCCUUCAGUAAGGCCUUUUAAGCCCUGAGGAGGAAUGACAGCCCUUCCCAGACAAACAUAGUAGUUCAACUGAUAUUCAGUGAAAGAGCUGCAGAAGUAGGCUCAUCUGCUGGCUCAGAAGAAACAGUGUUCAUUUAAGACCUCCAGAUGCCAUGGAAGAUGAGAAUACCUUGACACCAGAAGAGACCAGCUGGAGCUCCAGGCACAGCUAAUGACUGGCACAGCUGAGCCUGUGGGAAGCUCAUGUGGCUUCAGCCCUCUCCCUGCCUGUAGAUAGUUCCCUCCCUGCAGCCCUCAGACACUGCCUACUCCUUCUUUUUCCCUUCCACUCUCCCUCCUUUUUGACAGCUCCAUCCCCCCAGCCCUCAGACUGUGCCACCCCCUUUUUUGCCUCUCAACUCAUCCCUUUGCUUUGUCUUCCAGCAAUAAACAGUUUGGCUUUUUCACUUAACCUGCAUCUGUGUGGAGCUGAAGGGUCACAAUUCUGGAGUUCUGUGACACAAAUCCUGAGCCCUGAGACACGCAGGCCCCUCCUGCUGUUCUCUUCUGCACUGUGUUUUGUUCAGAGACGCAGAGGAACGAGCGCAGAUCAGGCUGGAUAGGUCCCUGUGCUGAAGGUCCAGUUCCACAACAUUGUGGAGUUAAAGGUCUUGCUGAGUACCCUGAGCCUUGGAUUUUGGAAGAGCCAAGCUGAGUAUGCCCUGAACCCCGCUGUGAGGGGUUCUGUGUCAAGCAUCCACAGAUGGCAAAGGAGCUUAGAAUGCCUGAGGCUUUCAAGAAUAGCUUCCUGAAAGCACAGUAAUGCUCCAUCCCUGCUCAGGAUCAGGAAGAGGGCAGAACCAGAGAGCAUCUGGGCUUAACAGGGAGCUGUGGGUGUGUCUAAGAGCAAAUGAAGCAGCAGCACAGUGGCCGAGACUCGGACGCACAACCCUGCUGGCGUCCGGAGCGCUGUCAGGCAGUGCCGGGAUCCCGGGUUUGGUUCUGGGCCCCACAACUGAGGAACUGCAGCCCCUGCCUCAGAGCCUGUCAGAAAGCCAAGCAAGUGAGACCAGAGGGAGGGCAUCCUUCCAGUCUCUCUUGGGCAUGGCCGCAAAACAGCUCCUGCUCCUUCUUCCUCCGCCUCUGUUUGGGCCCUGCUGUUACAAACGGAGACAAGUUUAGACAAGUUCUGCCUUUGUCUCAGCUUUGUGGCAGCAGCUCAUUUUGAGGCAGCCUGCACCCCAAAUGUCUCUCAUUCACAAGUUCUUAAGAAUGGCUGAUUAGGUUUAUUAUAAAAUUAAUUCUUUAUUGAAUUGACAAAGGAUUAACAGACAUCAGACUUUAGAUAGACCACUUAGUACAUAGGACAAAACAAAAAGAGCCACUACUAGAUCAAAAAUACAGGAC